rnacentral:rRNA from 1 species
CCUACGGGAGGCAGCAGUGGGGAAUAUUGCGCAAUGGGCGAAAGCCUGACGCAGCGACGCCGCGUGAGGGAUGAAGGUCUUCGGAUCGUAAACCUCUGUCAGGAGGGAAGAAGAGGGUAUAGGCGAAUAGUGUAUGACUUUGACGGUACCGCAAAAGGAAGCACCGGCUAACGCCGGGCCAGCAGCCGCGGGAAUACGGAGGGUGCGAGCGGUAAUCGGAAUCACUUGGCGUAAAGCGCGCGUAGGCGGCUUUUCAAGUCAGGGGUGAAAUCCCACGGCCCAACCGUGGAACUGCCUUUGAAACUGUCGAGCUUGAGUGUCGGAGAGGGUGGCGGAAUUCCAGGUGUAGGCGUGAAAUCCGUAGAUAUCUGGAGGAACACCGGUGGCGAAGGCGGCCCCCUGGACGACAACUGACGCUGAGGUGCGAAAGCGUGGGUAGCAAACAGGAUUAGAUACCCUUGUAGUC